CAGUCGCCGCGGUAAUACGAAGGGGGCUAGCGUUGCUCGGAAUUACUGGGCGUAAAGGGAGCGUAGGCGGACAUUUAAGUCAGGGGUGAAAUCCCAGAGCUCAACUCUGGAACUGCCUUUGAUACUGGGUGUCUUGAGUGUGAUAGAGGUAUGUGGAACUCCGAGUGUAGAGGUGAAAUUCGUAGAUAUUCGGAAGAACACCAGUGGCGAAGGCGACAUACUGGAUCAUUACUGACGCUGAGGCUCGAAAGCGUGGGGAGCAAACAGGAUUAGAUACCCCUGUAGUCCCUGUCUCUUAUAA
rnacentral:rRNA from 1 species